CAUUCCACGGAUUCUGUGCCGUAGCUAACGCAUUAAGUACCCCGCCUGGGGAGUACGGCCGCAAGGCUAAAACUCAAAGGAAUUGACGGGGCCCCGCACAAGCGGCGGAGCAUGCGGAUUAAUUGGAUGCAACGCGAAGAACCUUACCUGGGUUUGACAUGGAUCGGAAGGGGCCAGAGAUGGUUGUGCCUCUUUUGGGGUCGGUUCACAGGUGGUGCAUGGCUGUUGUCAGCUGGUGUCGUGAGAAAGUGGGUUAAGUCCCGCAACUAGCGCAACCCUCGUCUUAAGUGGCCAGCAAUUCGGAUGGGGACUCAGUGAGACCGCCGGGGUCAACUCGGAGGAAGGGGGGGAU
rnacentral:rRNA from 1 species